rnacentral:snoRNA from 2 species
CCUCUCUUAGGAUAGCACCUGGAGGGUUUCCGGUACUCUACCAGUCUCGGCUACGGGAGGGGGAGUCAAGCAGAGGCCUACCCAUUCCAUUCCUAGCUUGGACAGUGGCUAGCGAGUGGAAGGCAAGCUGCUACAAGU